GACGAACGCUGGCGGCGUGCUCAACACAUGCAAGUCGAACGGAAAGGCCCCUUUGGGGGUACUCGAGUGGCGAACGGGUGAGUAACACGUGAGUAACCUGCCCUUGACUUCGGGAUAACUUCAGGAAACUGGGGCUAAUACCGGAUAGGAAUCCUUGCUGCAUGGUGGGGGUUGGAAAGCUUCGGCGGUUUUGGAUGGACUCACGGCUUAUCAGCUUGUUGGUGGGGUAGUGGCUUACCAAGGCUUUGACGGGUAGCCGGCCUGAGAGGGCGACCGGCCACAUUGGGACUGAGAUACGGCCCAGACUCCUACGGGAGGCAGCAGUGGGGAAUAUUGCACAAUGGGCGGAAGCCUGAUGCAGCAACGCCGCGUGCGGGAUGACGGCCUUCGGGUUGGAAACCGCUUUCAGCAGGGGCGAAGCUUGUGGUGACGGUACCUGCAGAAGAAGCACCGGCUAACUACGUG
rnacentral:rRNA from 1 species